rnacentral:rRNA from 1 species
AACGAACGCUGGCGGCAUGCCUAACACAUGCAAGUCGAACGAGGCCUUCGGGUCUAGUGGCGCACGGGUGCGUAACGCGUGGGAACCUGCACUUAGGUUCGGAAUAACUCCCCGAAAGGGGUGCUAAUACCGGAUAAUGUCUUCGGACCAAAGAUUUAUCGCCUUUGGAUGGGCCCGCGUUGGAUUAGCUAGUUGGUAGGGUAAAAGCCUACCAAGGCGACGAUCCAUAGCUGGUCUGAGAGGAUGAUCAGCCACACUGGGACUGAGACACGGCCCAGACUCCUACGGGAGGCAGCAGUGGGUAAUAUUGGACAAUGGGCGAAAGCCUGAUCCAGCAAUGCCGCGUGAGUGAUGAAGGCCUUAGGGUUGUAAAGCUCUUUUACCCGGGAUGAUAAUGACAGUACCGGGAGAAUAAGCUCCGGCUAACUCCGUG